ensembl:lncRNA
AAUAUAAUCUGGUACUACUGUGGUAUAUGUGACCCUAGUACUUAAAUAUAAUCUGGUACUACUGUGGUAUAUGUGACCCUAAUAGUCAGUUAAUAAAAAACGUGUAGAACAUGACAUAAAGUAAACAUUUAAAACAGUACAAACAGAAUAAAAAGAACAAUAAUAGUAAUCAAUGGUACAGUACCUGGUGCAGUUCAAGGGUAAGGAUGUAUCUUGCAUUGCAUUUGUAAUUAACAAAGAAGGAUCAGAUGAGUGUAAAAGCAAUGGAAAACGUUAAAUGGUUGCCUGAGGUGCAGGUUUAAUAGUUUUUAAAUGACAGACUAUUAACUGUAUGGAUUAUAUUAGGAGGUAGUACAUCCCAGGCAUUAAAAAAUGUUCUAGGAUUGGAGGUAUUAUGUGACCUAAACUAGCAUUCCUUGUGUAAUGGUUAUGUCUACUACUACUACUACGUAUAUUGUAACUGAUUGUAAACAUAUUCAGGUGUCUGAUUAAAUACUACCUUUCUGAAAACAUGGGAUGGCUUUGGGGAAGUUUGAUUUCCAAUGACCACCAUGACAGGCAAGAGUGCAUAUAUAUACUGUAUUAGUUCUUAUUGAACACUGGAAUGGCAGCACAGUUGUACUUUAUUUGUGUUCUUCUUUCAGCUGCUGACCAUAUGAAUAGACAGUAUAGCAAGUAAAAAAAGACCAAGGACUGUAACACCUGGCAAACAAUAUGGUGUAAAAAUAAAAUAAUAAAGUGUUAAAUAGGCAAAGCACAUUAUGGUCAUUGCUACAUCUCUUCCCAUUUCAUUCACAAUGCUGCCAAUGUGCUUAGACCACUGUUCGUCCAACACUAGACCAGUAGCUGGGUGCUUUUGACCUCUUCUAUGGCCAAACCUGACAUAAACAGGUGAAGCUGUGCGUCACCAUUAAUGUUCCUUAAGCCAAACACAAUACUUUUAAUUUUAGAAAUGUUCAGGGCUAGUUCAUUCGCUUUCACCCAAUCAGCCACUCUUUCCAGGGUUUUUAUUAUUAUAAAAAUUAUAUUACAUCACAUGUCAUGUAGCUGACGCUUUUAUCCAAAGCGACUUACAAUAAGAACAUUUCAACCAUAAGGACACAAACUCAAAAGAACAAGAAAGUGUGAUUUCAUCAAACAAGCCGAUGUACAACUUGCUGUAGAUAAGAACCAUUAUAAGUCCAAUGUAAGUGCUACAGUUAGUGUGUUAGUGGAGGUAGAGUCUGAAGAGGUGUGUCUUUAGUCUGAAGAUGUGAAGGCUCUCUGUGGUCCUGAUGUAAGCUGGACCCCAUCCAUUCACAGCAUGGUACGUGAGCACCAUGUUUAGAACUGGAUGAGCCACCGGUACCAGUGAAGAGAGCGGAGGAGUGGAGGAGUGAGGGAGAACUUAGGAAGGUUAAAGACCAGUGGAGCUGCUGCAUUCUGGAUGAGCUGCAGAGGUGGAAUGGUGGUAGCAGGAGACCUGCAGGACAGAGCUGCAGUAGUCCAGGAGGGAGACGACAAGAGCCUGAAUCAGUACCUGUACUUGUUGAAGACGACCUAGAGAGUCACGUCUUUGUGUGUGGAAGUCGUUGGUUGGUUUAUUUAUUCAUCAUAGACUUUAUUGCCCCGUGCAUCCACACUGCUGCUUUUCAUCUCAGACACAUUUGUCCCGUAUUUUCCUCCACAACUUUGUUCCCCUCGACCGGCAAACCGACGUUUGCGGCGAUCUCCCUCCAUGAAUCCAACCCACUUAUACAACCCGCCAAUGACAAUGUUUUCUUCUAGCUGUCUUCCUGUUGUUGUCCACUACUUCACGUUGUCUUCAAGUUCUCUUGUAGUUGUUUUCCACUACUUCUCGUUAUCUGUUGUUAUCUGUUGUCUCCCUGUUGUCUUUCAGCUGUCAUCCUGCUGUUGUCCAGUGCUUUGCAUGUUCUUUGCAUUGUCUUCCAGUCGUCUUCCUGUUGUUGUCCACUACUUCCUAUUGUCUUACCGUUGUUUCCACGUUGUCUCCCAGUUGUCAUUCCAGUGUUUUAGUGUUGUCUUCUUGUUGGCUCCCCACUGUCUUCCAGUUGUCGUCCCCUACUUUCUAUUGUCUUCCUGUUGUCCCCAACUGUAUUCUCGUUGUUGUCCACCAUUUCCCGUUAUUGUCCCAUUGUUGUCACCUACCUAGCUUUGUUCCUUAAAUUAAAUAAUUCACUGCAGAAAACAAAGGAAGUCUGAUGUAGUUCAAUGAAAAAAGAUUUUUUCUCUGAUUUAACCUCUUUUCUUCAUGUUCUGAGACGCAUGCCACCGUGAUCGGCCAAACAGGGUCCAUCACAUCACACUAAUAGACUGCCAAAUGUACAACACACACACGCGCACACACACACACACACACAAUCGCACAGACACAGAGGGCGUUGACCUGCUAUUACUGAGCUUUUCUGCUUCACUGCAGGCUGGUAAUGAUGGUCUGUGUGUGUGUCUGUGUGUCCAGAAACUUGUAAUGUGUUGGUUGAGUAACUUAGUGAUUGACACACCGACCCAGAGAGAGACAGAGAGAGAGGGCCUUAUGGACUAACGCUUUUGCACCCACUUCAGGCGUAUUUGAUUCGCAACGUGCGCGUAAAAGCAUUGCGAAGUGCAAACAUGCCGCUCUGUGGUGAAAGCGCAGUUGCGGGAACUGAAAAUGGCAAAUUGCGCUUUCUCAUGUCAUGCUUUUACGUGCACGUUGCAAAACAAAUACGCUUGAAGUGGCUGCAAAAGCGUUAGUACAUGAGGCCCAGAGAGGGAGAGAAGCAGAGGGACAGAGUUCAGAAUCAGAUGGACAUCCAUAAAAUGGUUAAACACGCACACACCUAAACCCACAGACACACACAAACAGCAGGGUUUUAAUUAGUGAGUUUUAGUUGAGUGAUCAGCUCGUAAAGCUAACAAUGUUUGCUGCCCUCCGCAAAAGCAAAACACCUCAUUUAAUUCAACACACAUGCUCACAUACAGACAAACACAAAGACAUAAAUACAAACUCACACACGGCUGGAAAAUUAACCCAGUUUAAAUCCAUUUCAUUUUGUGCUUAUGGGAUGAAAUGUUCAGUCUGUGUGUCAACAAACAUAAGUUCAUUAAAACUCAAUUUUCUGCUGCAGCUUUCUGUAUUGACCCACCAGUCAUUAAGUCCCUCUGUUUUCAUAUUUAUUUAUAUAUUUAUAAAUAAGUUUACAACAAAUACAGCACAUGUUCAAAAUACCAUAUGUACGGUGUGUGUGUGUGUGAAAGAUAUAUCUGUACACACACCCUAAUAUAUAUAUAUAUAUAUAUAUAUAUAUAUAUACAGCAAAGGUCCUUGAAGAGAGACGUCUCUCCCGUCCCUGUUCCAGUGUCCCAGCUGUAGUGGUCUUGACACACGGACACUGGACCUGAUCCCAGAUCAGCAGCAGGAAACUCUCAAAAACCAAAAUCAGUUUUAAGAGAAUGUCUUUGUUUGAUGAAACCACAUGUUCUCGAUUCAUCUACAUUUUAGUCUCCCUUUUGCUCAGAAUCAGAGAUACGUGUCAUCACUUCUUCUUCAUGUCCUCUGUCCUGCACUUCCUGUCUCCGUCCCAGUGUCUAACUUUUCCACCUCCUCUCAUCCGUCUUCAUCUCUCGGUCUCUUCUGCGGUGUCUCUCGUCCGUCUCCAUCACUCCACAUUAGCUCCCUCUCUCCUCUAUUACCUCCCUCUCUCCUCCAUUAGUAACACCUGAAUCCUUCUAUUAGAUUGAGGAAGUCGGCCUCAUAAAUUCGCCGGCGUUCCUCCGCAGCCGAGCGCCGGCUCAGUGUUUUUGAUAAUGAAAGGAUCUGGGCUUAAAUUCACAUUACCUUUGUGAUGUACUUCAUGCUUGAUCAUAUCAGGCUCUUUGAUUUUAUUAACGUCUCUGAAUGGAUUUCUCGUUCUCUCUGCCCGUCCAUCUCCGUCUGUCGCCCCCCUCCCAACGUCUACUCCAACGAGGGCUUCGUCCUCCGAGGGGGGCGCUGAAGGUCGAGGGACUUGGGGUCGAGAGGCAGCAGACUGCCCGGCAGCUGCAAAGCAUGAUGGGAAACCUGCAAGGGCUUUACAUGAAUCAACAGAAGAACUCAGCGGACUCAAACAUGGUUAUUUGUAACGCACGCUGGCGGAGCGGCACAUUGAGACAAAGUAAAUAAAGUGCUGUAAUCACCACCCGGCUGGUACACGCAGUGACUCCGAUCAAACACACCCAAGGUGUUGAGGAUCAGCUCAGACACUGUGACAUCAUAAACAUAAAUAUCCUUGUUGCGUUUGACCUGCGUGUGUCCUCUGAGUCAAACCCGAGACCUGGAGGAGGUCUGUUAAAAUAACAAUCAGAGCUACUGUUUGUCCCUUAAUCGAUAAAUAUAAUUUGCAAUACGCUGCUAUCAGAUUUAAUGAGAAAAGAUUAACACACACACCCACACACACACAAAGCGCAUACAAAGCAAAAAUAAAGUGCACACAUACACGCGCACACACACAUGGAGUCAGUUAACCCAUUCUGACCUCUCUGCUGCUCUGCUGCUUUCCAACACACAACCUGUCAAACUGUCAGUGUGUGUGUGUGUGUGUGUGUAUAUUUCAUUAGUUUCAACAGUUUCAGAGUUUGAGGAUCGAUAUGCUUGAGUGUGUGAGUGUGUGUGUGUGUGUGUCUGUGUAAAGUAACAAAAGCACUUGUCAGAGGCACUGUCAGAAGUCCCGCCCCUGACUGUCUGUCAUAGUAUUUUGAUUGACAGCUCUUAACACAUGACAUCUUAUUGUGUUGUAGUUGAUUCAUUUUUAUUUAUUUAUUAAUAAAUUAAAUAUUCAUCUGAAGGAACCUGACGGUAAAAGGUCUGUGUGUUCUGUUCUGGUUGCUUAAAUAUCUGCAGAGCCAACGCACUACGAUCUACGAGCAAGUACGUUAGGAGAGGAGAGAAUUUAGAGCUAUAGGAGGAGGUUGUCAGUAGGGAGGUUCUAAGAGUCAGUGUGGAGGUUCUAAGAGUCAGUGGGGAGGUUCUUAGAGUCAGUGUGGAGGUUCUUAGAGUCAGUGUGGAGGUUCUAAGAGUCAGUGGGGAGGUUCUUAGAGUCAGCGUGGAGGUUCUAAGAGUCAGUGGGGAGGUUCUUAGAGUCAGUGUGGAGGUUCUAAGAGUCAGUGAGGAGGUUCUGAGCAUCAGUGAGGAGGUUCUAAGAGUCAGUGAGGAGGUUCUAUGAGCCAGUGAGGAGGUUCUAAGAGUCAGUGAGGAGGUUCUAAGAGUUAUUAAAGAGCUUCCUGGGUCUUUAUUUUGUAUCUGCUGUUAACUAUGUUAAAGCGGGAAUAAGCAUUUUUACAGUAAUGGAGGAUGGUUGUACUGUUCCUUUGUGAAGCAGCUACUUUAAUGGAGCAUCAGGAAUCGAGAAUCAGGAACAUUCAUUGCGCGCCGUCAUUUGCGACCGGGCGCUGCUGCUACUUUUAUAGAAAUGCUAUUUAUGUAUUUCAUCAUCCGGCGGUCUGCACUGGACGCCCCGCGGGCCGUAUGUUUGACACCCCUGCACUAAGGGGUUAUUAAUGGCGAACAGUGGUACUGUUUCUUUAAGAAGCAGCUCCCUGAGACUUGACCUACCUGAAUAAAGGCUUUGAGUUCUACCUUCACUUUGCUCUUUACAGUCAUAUCUCCCUUUGUGUGAUGUAAAACGACUUUAUGGAGCUCGUAUCAUGAAAAUUGAUUAGUCGUACAGAAAAGAAGGUUAAUCGAGACCUUAAAUAAGAACUAUAACUCUCUCUCUCUCCACCAGGUUGGGAGGUGUCAUCCUCUGCUGCUUUAUGGAGAAACCAGACUUAACGAGGGCUAACAAAAUGUCAGCAGCCGACCAAUCAGGAGCCAGCAAUAGGACAGGGAGACUUAUUCGAGUGGGAAGUCUGAAGGAGUCAUUUCAGAGUGAGGAUUGAGAGGAGGAGGAGGAGGAAGAUCAGAAGGAGGAAGAAAAUUAUGAGGACAAGACAAUUAGAAGGUGGAAGAGUAGGAAAAGGAGAAGGAGUAGAAGGGGGAAGAGGAGCAGGAAGAGAGGGAGAAAGAGGAGGGUGAAAAGAGGAAGAGGAGGAAAAGAAGAAUAGGGAGAAGGGUGAAGAGGAGGUGGAAGAGGAGAAAGUGGAAGAGGGAGGGGGAAUGAAGAAGAGGAAGAGGAGGAAGAUGAAGGGAAAGAGGAGGAGGAGGAAAAUGAAGAGAUGGAGGAGGACGAACAAGAAGAGGAAGGAGGUCAUUUUUUAAAUCAGCAGUAACUUUCUUGUCGAACAAGAAGAAAAAGUGAGUCUCCUUAAGUGUGUAAAACUGUUAAAGACUAAAUGAGAACCUCCCCCUCUCUCUCUCCCCCUCUGUCUAAAUCAAUCAAUAAUUCCCUUGUCGUUACUGCAGCAUGAAGCCAAUCAGGAUAAAACAGGGAAUUAUAUUCAUGAAACAACAAAGUGCUCAGACAGCAAAACAAAUUGUGAGAGCGUACUUGUCUGUGUUGUAUGUGUGUAUGUGUGUGUGUAUGUGUGUGUGUGUGUGUUUGUGUGUGUGUGUGUGUGUGUGUGUGUGUGUGAGACAAAUGUCAAUAAGUUUUCCAUAGAAAACAAACAGUGUCGCUGAAAUGAGAUGGAGAAUGACAUGUUAGUCAUUUAAGCAUGAAGGAGAAAAAAACACAUUGAACCUGUAUAUAUUUAUAUACAGUAUAUAUACACAUACAAUAUAUAUACGGGUUCAGCUGGUUUCAGUGACCACCACAUCAUCACUGUGGACCUGAUCACUUCACCGGGUCAAUGGAUAAAGUCCAACUAGUGCUUUAAUAACAUUUAUAUUACGAGACUGCUCUCUCACUCUGCUAGAGCUCCUCUCUCUCCUCUGUCCUCGUCCUUCUGGACGUCUCUGCUGCAUUUGACACAGUCAACCACCAGAUCCUUAUUUCCUUCCUUCAGGAACUUGGUGUCUCAGGCUCUGCUCUCUCCCUUCUCUCGUCCUACCUUGACGGCUGCACCUACCGGGUAACCUGGAGAGGAUCUGUGUCGGAACCUUGUUCUCUUACUACGGGAGUUCCUCAGGGUUCCGUCCUGGGUCCCCUCCUCUUCUCGCUCUACACCAACUCUCUCAGCGCUGUCAUCCGCUCGCAUGGCUUCUCCUACCACAGCGAUGCUGAUGACACCAACUAAUUCUCUCCUUCCCUCACUCGGAUCUCUGUCUGUCUGACUGACAUCUCUCAGUGGAUCCGCCCACCAUCUGAAAAUCAACCCCGAGACUACUUCUCUUUCCAGGAAAAGAUUCUCCUUCACAGGACCUGACUGUUAACUUUGAGACUCCGUGUUAACGCCCACUUUGACUGCAGGAACUUCGGCGUGACAUCGACAGCCGACUCUCCCUGACUCCAACAUCACGGACAACAUCCUGUAGAUACUCGCUCUACAACAUCAGGAGAACACGUCCACUUCUCACCCAGAAGGCUGCUCAGGUACUGAUUCAGGCUCUUGUCAUCUCCCUCCUGGACUACUGUAACUCUCUCCUGCAGGUCUCCUGCUACCACC